UGGGGAAUAUUGGACAAUGGGCGAAAGCCUGAUCCAGCCAUGCCGCGUGUGUGAAGAAGGUCUUCGGAUUGUAAAGCACUUUAAGUUGGGAGGAAGGGCAUUAACCUAAUACGUUAGUGUUUUGACGUUACCGACAGAAUAAGCACCGGCUAACUCUGUGCCAGCAGCCGCGGUAAUACAGAGGGUGCAAGCGUUAAUCGGAAUUACUGGGCGGAAAGCGCGCGUAGGUGGUUUGGUAAGUUGGAUGGGAAAUCCCCGGGCUAAACCUGGGAACUGCAUUCAAAACUGACUGACUAGAGUAUGGUAGAGGGUGGUGGAAUUUCCUGUGUAGCGGUGAAAUGCGUAGAUAUAGGAAGGAACACCAGUGGCGAAGGCGACCACCUGGACUAAUACUGACACUGAAGUGCGAAAGCGUGGGGAGCAAACA
rnacentral:rRNA from 1 species